rnacentral:rRNA from 1 species
GACGAACGCUGGCGGCGUGCCUAACACAUGCAAGUCGAACGCGAAAGCCCCUUCGGGGGUAAGUAGAGUGGCGUCCGGGUGAGUAACACGUGGGUAAUCUGCCUUCGGGUGGGGAAUAACUCAGGGAAACUUGAGCUAAUACCGCAUAAUGCAGCGGCACCUAAUGGUGAUUAGUUGUUAAAGCGGGGGAUCGCAAGACCUCGCGCCUGAAGAGGAGCCUGCGGCAGAUUAGCUAGUUGGUGAGGUAAUGGCUCACCAAGGCUACGAUCUGUAGCUGGUCUGAGAGGACGGCCAGCCACACUGGCACUGACACACGGGCCAGACUCCUACGGGAGGCAG